GAUGAACGCUGGCGGCGUGCCUAAUACAUGCCAGUCGAGCGAACGGACGAGAAGAUUGCUUCUCUGAUGUUAGCGGCGGACGGGUGAGUAACACGUGGAUAACCUACCUAUAAGACUGGGAUAACUUCGGGAAACCGUAGCUAAUACCGGAUAAUAUUUUGAACCGCAUGGUUCAAAAGUGAAAGACGGUCUUGCUGUCACUUAUAGAUGGAUCCGCGCUGCAUUAGCUAGUUGGUAAGGUAACGGCUUACCAAGGCAACGAUGCAUAGCCGACCUGAGAGGGUGAUCGGCCACACUGGAACUGAGACACGGUCCAGACUCCUACGGGAGGCAGCAGUAGGGAAUCUUCCGCAAUGGGCGAAAGCCUGACGGAGCAACGCCGCGUGAGUGAUGAAGGUCUUCGGAUCGUAAAACUCUGUUAUUAGGGAAGAACAUAUGUGUAAGUAACUGUGCACAUCUUGACGGUACCUAAUCAGAAAGCCACGGCUAACUACGUG
rnacentral:rRNA from 1 species